rnacentral:rRNA from 1 species
GAUGAACGCUGGCGGCGUGCCUAAUACAUGCAAGUCGAGCGAACAGAUGAGGAGCUUGCUCCUCUGACGUUAGCGGCGGACGGGUGAGUAACACGUGGAUAACCUACCUAUAAGACUGGGAUAACUUCGGGAAACCGGAGCUAAUACCGGAUAAUAUAUUGAACCGCAUGGUUCAAUAGUGAAAGACGGUUUUGCUGUCACUUAUAGAUGGAUCCGCGCCGCAUUAGCUAGUUGGUAAGGUAACGGCUUACCAAGGCAACGAUGCGUAGCCGACCUGAGAGGGUGAUCGGCCACACUGGAACUGAGACCCGGUCCAGACUCCUACGGGAGGCAGCAGUAGGAAUCUUCCGCAAUGGGCGAAAGCCUGACGGAGCAACGCCGCGUGAGUGAUGAAGGUCUUCGGAUCGUAAAACUCUGUUAUUAGGGAAGAACAAAUGUGUAAGUAACUAUGCACGUCUUGACGGUACCUAAUCAGAAAGCCACGGCUAACUACGUG